GACUGGUGCAGACUUGAAGUGGGCAUGGUAUAGCUGGGGCCAUUCACUAAAAGGAAGUUACCUGAGGGACCUCCUAGGAGUGUGUGGGAUUGCACCAAGAUGUUCCUCAUCUGAUUAGUUCAGAAAAAUGGAUGGGGAAGGAAGCAGCCGGAUAUGAUGCCACCAUGUCAACAGAUGGUGCCAACGGGAUCCUUAUUCCCAAGUGGUCCUGGGCAGAGAGGCCUGUCAAGCUGGAGGUGACUGGCAGGGUCUGGUUCCGAUCCUGAGCAUGGCAGCAUGGCAGCAUGGCAGCAUGGCAGCAUGGCUAGGCAUCCUGUUGUCAUGCAAAAGCAUCUUCAUUUUCCUCCCUUGAAGAAGGAUGCACAAGUUCCAAUUCCCAAAAAAGUCUGUGCUGCAAAAGGUUAAGUAAGAAGCGACAGACCCACACGUCUUCCUAAGGCCGGUGGGGACGCUGGUGACACCAUUACUCAGUUUCAGAAUUCCCAGAAACCACUUCUCGGAGGCACGGUCUAUGAGUGGACACAAACGGCUUAUUGCGUGCUGACUGGCAACUGGCCAGUCACUGUGUCUGUUCCUCAGAUAUGCUCGUCCUGUCUAGGGACUGGCAUUUCCAGAAGCAAGGCAUCAGUUUCCGCUGGGGCAAGUGCCAGGAGAAGCUUCCUAGUAUUCUCCAUGUCCCCUGGGGUUGCACAUUCACCCCAUGAGAGGCGAGCCUUCUCCAGAAGCCAAGAGGCCGUGGCUGUGUCCUUCAUUCCCCCCCCCCCCUUGAGGAAUUCCAGAUACCAUGACGCCCACAUUUCCUGGAUGCGUGGCAGGCCGCUCUCACCUCUCAUGUCUGGUGAUGCUCACAUCUCUGACGACUGACAGACAGACACGCAUCCUUCCCCUGCCUCUCCUGCCACAUGUAGAGGGUGUCCACUCUCCGCUCAUGCUGGCUCGACAUUAAUUCAGGGUCAUUUCACAACGACCCCUAUGAGCUGAGAGGUUUACUGGUCAGCCCUGACAUCUGGCAGCUGUGGGACCCAGGGCAGUCCGUACCCACUGCUCAAUGUGCCGUGCCACGGGCAAAGAUGGCACUGAAAGUGUGCCCAGCUUGUCACUCACUCUGACAUCAUAAGCCCACAAGGUCAAGGAGAUCACUAAUCAUUAACUAUCCCUCUCAGAUGGGAGAUAGAGGGUUAGGAGCUAAACAACUUGCCCACAGUCCCUCGAGGACAGCAGAGCCAUGGUCUCACAGCUUGGGACAGUGAAGAGCGAUGGCAGCUAUGUUUCUCCAAGCAAGGUUCAGGGCUGCACAUGACUUGUCUCAUAGCAACUGCAUAGACAAAGGUCACCAACUGCUGAACCCACUGUCACCAUCUCCAGGACCCCAAACUCUCAAGGACUGUCCUUGAGUUCCAAGGCGCUUCUGCAGCAGCCUACAACCUCCAGCAUCCCAUGCUCCCUGGGAGUGUGUUCAAAUGCAGGUUCUGUAGCUCUGUUCUGGUCCACUGGGCCAGGAGAGUUGCGGAGGGGCUGGGAGGCUCAACUACAUACACACUGCUCUUCUCCAGGAUCCUGAUGCCCACACAAUGGGAGUUUGUUUGAGCGGCAGAUGAGGCAAGGAAACUGAGGUUCAGUGGGGAAAGAAAUCCGCACGGGUAAUUCCCCUGCCUGGGGCCAGCUCGGGCCUCUUGACCUCGGCUCUGGUGUCUGAGCCACACCCAGACGAUCCUGCAGGCAGCUCACCACAAAGGGAGCUGCAGCCAGGACAGGCACUCUGCAAAUGGCUGUAUCCGUGGCCCUCGGAGGCCCUUCAAAGGUCUGGAGACUACACUCCCAAAAUAAAUCUCUUAGCU
rnacentral:lncRNA from 1 species